CCUUUCCCUCCAGGUUGACAAAUGCCAUUUUGAGACCCAAGACACAAGGCCUGGACUUGACCAGUUCUCACAGAGAAGUCAUCCAACAGCUCAGGGGCCACCAGAACCCCAUCCCCGAACCACCCCUCUUUGGGUGACUAUCCAAAGGGGCCAGAGCCACAGCAACAGGCUGCUGCUCCAGACAUGCUGCCCUGGUCCCCAGAGAAGGGUUUCAUUCUCCCCACUGGAGUCCCCUAGGGACACAUGGGUCUUAAGGAAGCCACCCCUGCCCCAGGCCUUGAAUGCCAGGCACCCCUCCGAAUGGAAUCUGAGCUCCUGCAGGACAGCUGGCGUCACUGCCCAUUGCUCCCCUGUUCUCCCACCUGCACCUACAGGACUGGGUCCGAGCCUGCUAGGCAAGGGGGUGGGGGGACAUGAAAUCUGGAGAAGACAACUGGAACUGAAGAACUGAGGAAGGGUUAACCCAGCCUCAAAGCGGCCGUGUGAAAAAAUACAGCAGAGAACUAUGGGAAGAAACCACUUACCUGCCCUCAGACGGAAAUUUACCAAACUGUAUCAACUCCCAGAUGAGAGUCUCAUGCACGAGACUCGAGGCAAACCAACACACCGCAUAUGCAGUUCAGCAUCACUGAAGAAACGCAAGCUUUAAAAACUACGAGUACACAUCUACUCAUCAGCCCAAAACAACACAGUGAAAAAGCAGUCCAUGCCGGCAAAGAUGAUGUAGAUCUUCUGGCUGCCGCAGGCAGGGAGAGAUUUGGCCUAAUGUCUCUCGAGGUCCACCUGGAGGUGCAGAGGCUUCUCAGAGUAGCCUCUACCCAGCCCUGCCAUCGCACUUCUGAGGAGAUGAGACCCAAAAGAAACCAGAACCAGACUUCCCUGGUGGUCCAGUGGUUAAGAAUCUGCCUGCCAAUGCAGGGGACAUGGGUUCCAGCCCUGGUCCAGGAAGAUCCCACGUGCCAUGGAAGGAACUAAGCCUGCGAGCCACAACUACUGAGCCCAUGUGCCACAACUACUGAAGCCUGCUCGCCUAGAGCCCAUGGUCUGCAACAAGACAAGCCACUGCAGUGAGAAGCCCGCACACCGCAACGAAGAGCAACCCCAGCUCGCCGCAACUAGAGAAAGCUCGCGCACAGCAACGAAGACCCAACGCAGCCAAAAAUAAAAAAAUAAAUAAGAAAAGUAAAUUAAGUAUAAAAAAAUUAUAAAAAACCCCCACAAACAAACAAAAACCCAAAAGAAACCAGAACCUUCGGCAGCAGGCUGUUUACACGAUGCUGUACCUAACAGCAACCACCUGCCCCACUGCCUCCCUGCCUCCACCACUGGCAAGACAGAAACCACUCAAAUGCCCACAGACAGGCCAGGAGCUGAUCACAGACAUCACAGGCUCCCAGCUGAGGGGACUAAGGGACCACUGGUUCACACACACCCUCGUUAUGCCUGUGAAAAUGGCACGUUGGCUGGCAGAGGUUGACAUUGCAUGGUGUCAGAAGUGGGAUCCAGAGAUGCCCUCUAAUGACUUAGAGGCUGGUGAGCAAGCAGGUGUGGGUACCCAUGGAGUUCAUUGAGCUCACUGCUUUCUUGUCAACCCUGGAGUUUGAAGGAUCUUCCCUGACCAGAGCUUGAACCUGGGCCAUGGCAGUGAAAGCCCAGAAUCCUAACCACUAGGCCACCAGAGAACUCCCACAUCCCCCGUUUCUUAUAACUACUUGCAAAGCUGGAAAUUCUGGUGGUGGCUUCCCAGUUAUUUAUAGGUUGUGGGUCCCAUCUUUCAAAUCUUUAUUCUGCUACUCAACUUAGAGCAACUUUCUUCUGAAAAUGGGGGGAUCUUAUUGCCCCUGCCUGUUCUAUUAUUCCCAGUCUAGCAGAGCAAUGUCAGGAUGAACCUUUGACACAAGUGAAUCUCAUACUGUAAUUUUCAAAAAGUGUAUGGUUUAUUUUAACUAUAUUAUGUGGAAGGAGU